GAGCCCAUAGCUCAGCCCGGUAGAGCACUGCUCUGAUACGGCAGGGGUCUCAGGUUCAAAUCCUGAUGGGCUCA
rnacentral:tRNA from 1 species